CUCCAAUUCGCGCGAGCCGGGUCACGGGGUCGUUAUUACACGCGAGCUUACGAAUGCGAGGAAGGCGGAAGAGAGUAGGAACAACGCGUCUAUGCGACGCCAACGAUAGUAACUAUCUCUAAGAGUAGAAACUCGAGGAUCCAAACUGAAGCUCUUACUCGAAGAAUAUUUAUUUUCUGUCUUUUGAUCGCGUUUUCCUCGUCGUCGAAUCGUUAUACGUCGACUGACGAAGAGUCAAACACAUUUCCGAAAUAAAUUCUAGUAGUUCUAGUAGAAAUGGGAGAGGGGAGAUAAAAAAAAGAGAAGAAAAAAAAAAAAGAAAAAAAAUAAGCGUCAAAGCGGACUCUACUACAACCGCCAAUACAACUUGGAAAAAGAUGAUCCGAUGCAAAAAUGAUGAAAAUGAUCUUAACUUUCGAUGACCUCGCUUGACCUUUUCUCCUCCACCUCUGGCUGUCUGUCUACGUAACCGAUAACGUUGAGUUCGCUUAUCCAUUGUGGUAUCGCCAUUGAAACGGGUCACGUCAAACUGUUCCGUAGCCGAUGACAACGUCAAAGAAGAAGAAGAAGAAGAAGGAGGAAAAGAAGAAGAAGAAGAAGAAGAAGAAGAAGAAGAAGAAGAAGAAGAAGAAGAAGACGACGACUACGUCACUUUUCCUAACCGGAUGUUGCGUUUCUCACGCGGAUUGGUAGAAAUGCAGAUAGCAUUAGACGUUGUAAAUGUGGUAGAGGCGCUGGCCUCGUACGUAGUCAUCUUUCCUUUCUCGGGACUUAUCGAUUUCUUAACGAGAGAAACGUUAAAAGUACUUACAUAGACAAAUAACGAUUUAAUGAUUUAUCCGAUUAGAAAAUUUCUUUUCUUUUUGCAUUGAUACUCUUCGUAUUAUUAGGUAAUCUCGUAAAUCGAUAAACGGUGAGAAAAAAAGAUAAAUGAAAGGAAAAAGAGAGAGAUAGAAAGAAAAAGACAAAGAAAGAGAGAGAGAGAGAGAGAGAGAGAGAGGGAGAAGUAGAAAAACGUGGUAGAAACGUUUCAGAAAUAUUACUUAUAUAUCUACACGUUACAGGUGCUCAAGCUUAACGCGAAAUCUUGGAAGACGAAGAACGGCAAGUGCUCCAGGGAACGUGACGGAACGGAGCGAGUUUCUUGAGAAAUACGCACGACGUGAGAUCUGUGAACGCUAGUUGAACGAAAGAACGAAAGAACGAACCCUUGGCGCAGGACCGCAAUGAUUUUUAUCCAAAUAAAAAUGAGAAGAAUCAGGAGAAACGGAGCGUAUCAGGAAGGAGAAAAAGAAAAGUCGGUUGGCUUUAUUCGCGUGAAUCAAGGAGUUACAAUGUAAAGUCGACUCGAGAUAUUCUUCCUUCACCUCUCUCUCUCUCUCUCUCUCUCUCUCUUUCUUUUUCUCUCUCUCUCUCUCUCUCUCUCUCUCUCUUUCUUUUUCUCUCUCUCUCUCUCUCUCUCUCUACCUGUCUAUCUAUCUCCCUUUCUUUUUAUAACGGAAGGAACCUCGAUAUUUUGCCUUUAAAUUCUUACUAAGGUAUUUAUAAUUUACGACUUUAUAAAAGCCCCGGUUAAAGAAUGAGAGAUGCUCGUUUAAAGAUCGUAAAAAGGUAAAAGAGAGAGAGAGAGAGAGAGAGAGAGAGAGAGAGAGAGAGAGAGAAAUAGAGGGAGAGAGAAAAAAAGAGAAAGAGACGAACGUACCUGAGAUAGACUGCUACGACCAAAGGUGGGCGUUCCUGUCUGAGAUCUGUCAGCUUGGCCGGAUGUAGGAAGGCCGGAACGUGUAGCCUCGAUCUGGGAUAUAACGGGCCAUGAGGUACGAGUAGCGUGAGAGAAUCGUCGGCCUUGAGCUCCUUGUAGGCCGCACGAUUUGGCGCAAGGGGCACUUGGCCGAGUGGCGUCACCGGUUGAAUUUGCACUCUUGGCCGGCAGAAAGCUGCCCCACCGUCUGAAUUGCCAGAGGCAACGUCCUCGGUACGUGGUUCCAGUACGGAGUAAGCGACUUGUACGAGCCUCGGCAAGCUCUUUGCGACCUUGACGCGUCCGGAUGCAUCAGGAGGAGGUAGAGGAGCCCACCAAUCCGCUGGUAUUGUGAUUUGGGCCAAGCAAACGCCGUUCUCACCGUCCGGGCUACAUGCUGCCGUUAGGGCAGUGUUAGUUGAGGUUGAUGAGGAUGAGGAUGACGAUCCCGACGACGAAGACGACGAUGACGACGACGACGACGACGACGACGAUGACGACGACGACGAUGACGAUGAUGAUGACGAUGACGACGAUGACGUCGAAGAAGAACCGGAGUUACUAGAAUAUUCCCUUCUUCCGUUAUUAUUUAAAUUCCUCAAGGGUGUCGCCAAACUAGCAUGGAGAACAACGCAGACCCUUUGAUGACGAGCAAGGAGCAAUUGUCUUCUACCACCGGCCUCACUUCCAGCGUGGAAUAAAACCCGAAGAACCGGAGAAUCUCUGGGGACGCUGUUACCAACUAAAUGCGCCGACAUGUCCAAAUGUCUUGCGCCCAAUUCUUGAGCGUCCAUUAUCGUCGCGGCUGUUAAAUUGCGUCUGGUCUCAGGUCCUGGUAAAGCGUCCAAUGGAUCGGGUACGAUAUAACGGGCUGGUACCGUCUGCUUCGUACUGAAAGGACCAUAGCUCGCUCUAACUGACACUGGUUCGCUAGUUUGAAAGACGGUGAACUUGUCUAUUGAUAAAACCGAGCCUGGUGGUGGCGAUGGUACUGAACCAGCACUGUUCGAUGCCGAUAUGCUUGCACCUGUACCCGUCGAUGACGCAGCUAUCGCUGGUAUUGUAUCCGUUCGAGACGGGUAAUAGGGUCUUGGUGUGUGCUUCAAAAAGAAUCCGCCAUCUUUGUUCUCGAAAUGGACCUCCACCGAUGCCGCAACAUCUGUAAUCAAAAAAAUAUAUACAUUUUAUACUAUAUUAAAAAUU